UAAAUUAAAUUCAGGGACUUCUAAAUCUGCUGAUAUCUGCAAGCUUUUCAUUUCUUGCAAGCGCAAAGACAUAAAUUUAUUUGACCUGAGUUUUUUGGUUUUCUCAAUGUUGUUUGCGACAGGGAAUAAUUAAUAUGUGUGGGCUUGGAACUACUGCUGAGCUUUUAGUUUUUUCAAAUCUCCAUUUGAUUUUUUUCUUCCACCGGGGGGAUUCAAUCGUAGAAUUAGAAUUAACGACUGUAUCAAGCGUCCUCAAAGCCAUGCAAGGAUUAUUGACAGAUUUGAGAGGAAUAGCCAACUAAAGCAACGAGUUAUUAUAAGUUUUCUUCUGUUCCAAGGGUUGCACAGAUCAAGUCCACCUGCAAGAUAAUUUCAUUGGGGAUCAGCAUAGAUCCUGUACGGGCACCCAACCCAGGAGCCGUUGAAUUUUAGUUCGUUGCAUCUUCUUGAAAUAGCAAACCGGGCGAUAACCAAGCUAAGGGCGAAGGAAGUUAAUGAAGUGGAUAUAGAAUCUCCAUAUUAUAUAUGGUUUGUUGCCACUACAUAUCUAUUGACAUAAAUACUUAUGUUUGUUGGUAAAGAUAGUAUAGAAGAGCAUUAGAGAGAUUAGUUAAGGUUCCUCUUUUCUUGUUAAGUCAUUUUCUUUCUCCACUUCGUGUAUUAAUCUUUUGAUGUCUAAUUUCUUGAAUAAAUUCAGAAUGCCAUUAUUUUGAA